UUCUAUUAUACGAAGGAGGUUUUCUAUUAUACGAAGGUGCUUUUCUAUUAUACGAGGGUGGUUUUCUAUUAUACGAAGGUGCUUUUAUAUUAUACGAUGGUGGUUUUCUAUUAUACGAAGGUGCUUUUCUAUUAUACGAUGGUGGUUUUCUAUUAUACGAAGGUGCUUUUCUAUUAUACGAUGGUGGUUUUCUAUUAUACGAAGGUGCUUUUCUAUUAUACGAUGGUGCUUUUCUAUUAUACGAUGGUGCUUUUUUAUUAUAAUAAGGUGCUUUUUUAUUAUGUGAUGGUGGUUCCCGUGAUUAACCGGAAGUGUGGAGUUUAUUUGAAAAAGGGACGGGCCAAUUGCUAAUGAAAUACGAAAAAAAAAAAAUCAAGAAAA